UAUCAUAUUCUGUAUGGUACCUGUGAAGUU
rnacentral:piRNA from 1 species